GCUGGGCACAGUGGUGCACACCUGUAAUCCCAGCACCUCCAGAGGCUGAGACAGGAGGAUCGCUAGUUCAAAGCCAGCCUCAGCAAAAGUGAGGCACUAAGCAACUCAGUGAGACCCUGUCUCUA
rnacentral:sRNA from 1 species